GUGGGGAAUCUUGCGCAAUGGGCGAAAGCCUGACGCAGCCAUGCCGCGUGAAUGAUGAAGGUCUUAGGAUUGUAAAAUUCUUUCACCGGGGACGAUAAUGACGGUACCCGGAGAAGAAGCCCCGGCUAACUUCGUGCCAGCAGCCGCGGUAAUACGAAGGGGGCUAGCGUUGCUCGGAAUUACUGGGCGUAAAGGGCGCGUAGGCGGACAGUUUAGUCAGAGGUGAAAGCCCAGGGCUCAACCUUGGAAUGGCCUUUGAUACUGGCUGUCUUGAGUACGGGAGAGGUGAGUGGAACUCCGAGUGUAGAGGUGAAAUUCGUAGAUAUUCGGAAGAACACCAGUGGCGAAGGCGACUCACUGGCCCGUUACUGACGCUGAGGCGCGAAAGCGUGGGGAGCAAACAGGAUUAGAUACCCGAGUAGUCC
rnacentral:rRNA from 1 species